rnacentral:rRNA from 1 species
UUGGAGGGCAAGUCUGGUGCCAGCAGCCGCGGUAAUUCCAGCUCCAAUAGCGUAUAUUAAAGUUGUUGCAGUUAAAAAGCUCGUAGUUGAAUUUCGGGAUCAAUAUAUCGGUCAUGCUUAGGUAUGUACUGGUAUUAUUGAUUUCUCCCUUCUGAAGAACCAUGAUGUCAUUUAUUUGAUGUCGUGGGGAAUCAGGACUGUUACUUUGAAAAAAUUAGAGUGUUUAAAGCAGGCUUUCGCUUGAAUACAUUAGCAUGGAAUAAUGAAAUAGGACGUUUGAUUCUAUUUUGUUGGUUUCUAGGAUCGACGUAAUGAUUAAUAGGGAUAGUUGGGGGCAUUAGUAUUCAAUUGUCAGAGGUGAAAUUCUUGGAUUUAUUGAAGACUAACUACUGCGAAAGCAUUUGCCAAGGAUGUUUUCAUUAAUCAAGAACGAAAGUUAGGGGAUCGAAGACGAUCAGAUACCGUCGUAGUCUUAACCAUAAACGAUGCCGACCAGGGAUCAGCGGAUGUUGCUUUUAGGACUCCGCUGGCACCUUAUGGGAAACCAAAGUGUUUGGGUUC